UAGGGAAUCUUCGGCAAUGGGGGCAACCCUGACCGAGCAACGCCGCGUGAGUGAAGAAGGUUUUCGGAUCGUAAAGCUCUGUUGUAAGUCAAGAACGGGUGUGAGAGUGGAAAGUUCACACUGUGACGGUAGCUUACCAGAAAGGGACGGCUAACUACGUGCCAGCAGCCGCGGUAAUACGUAGGUCCCGAGCGUUGUCCGGAUUUAUUGGGCGUAAAGCGAGCGCAGGCGGUUUGAUAAGUCUGAAGUUAAAGGCUGUGGCUCAACCAUAGUUCGCUUUGGAAACUGUCAAACUUGAGUGCAGAAGGGGAGAGUGGAAUUCCAUGUGUAGCGGUGAAAUGCGUAGAUAUAUGGAGGAACACCGGUGGCGAAAGCGGCUCUCUGGUCUGUAACUGACGCUGAGGCUCGAAAGCGUGGGGAGCGAACAGGAUUAGAUACCCUGGUAGUCCACGCCGUAAACGAUGAGUGC
rnacentral:rRNA from 1 species